GAGCCUUGCGCUAGGAUUCUCUUCCCUGUUUGGGGCAUGUGCUUGACCCAGAGGGGCCUGACGGAUGACGGAGUUCCCGAGGAUGUGCGGGGUGGAACAUGGGGUCACGGAGCAAGCCAGCUGGCAAAGUGGACUGGUUGGUGCCCAGGAAAGAGUACUGUGCUGUGAGUCACAUCCCCGGGUUCACAGCCCAGCCUGGAAACUGCUAGUUUCUCCACUGCUUUCCAGACCCAAGGUUCUACCAUCGGCCUCUACUCCCUCCCUGCCUCCUCCCCCUAAUAUGUGUCCGCUCCCCUCAUCUUUUCCUCCCUGUCUCCUCUUUUCCCCUCUGAGGACCGCCUGGCGCCCCGGGGCACAGGAGGCUUACACCUCCAGGUUCCAGUGCUCUGACGCCACAAGAGUUACUGACCACUUCUUCCUGGAGGACGCCCCACGGCAGGAAGCAGGGGUGAAGCCCUCGGUGAGGGAGCCGAGUGGUCAGUGUUCAGUCAAGCCCCGGGAAGGAUUUCUAAAGCAGGUCUUCUUCCCUGAAGCGCUUCAAAGGGAGAACCGCUGGGGGUGGUGGUGGGGUGGUGGGCGGCGCUUGUCCUGAGAAACUGGGGGUCCUGGAGGUUCCCGUACCAGCCCUGGGAUUCCCACGAGUUCCUUCUUUCGAAAUGAAAAUAGGGUCUCUGGGGGUUUCUAACUCAAUGUCUCCUUCCAGCAUUGCUUUCCCUCUUCAAACUCACGCCUGCCCUCGAGCUAACCAGAUAUUUACAAUAUUCAGAAUUCUAUUCACCAACAUGCAGCGCGCACGCUCUAUGGCUCAGUGGAGAGCGCUAAAUGUUCCACUCGGGGGACAAUAAAGUUCUUCAGACAGACAGGGAGAAGGAGAAGGAAAAGUCACGGCAGCUUCUCCGGGAAGCAAAAAGAGCAAAGGAAUCUUUGCGGGAGAGGUGCGUUCCCGGUGGGCUCAGACUUCAUGGGAGACCAGCUCGCCCAGCGGCGGCAGAGGGCCCGUCCUGGUGCGGUGAGAGGCGGGAAUGGCGGGGCCGGGACAGCUCCGGAGCCAGGCUGCCGCCUGUCGGAGAUCACCACCAUCACCAACCGCCUCAUCACAGCUAACAGACGGAGCUCACGGAGGCCAGAUCCCGUCCUAAGACUAUCAUCUCAUCCCAGCCUCGCAACGAUUCGAUGGAGGGCUGGUGGCUCUGAAGGGACCUGGGCUGGUGGGAACGAGGAGGAAACAGCUCACUCAUCUCGAGCACCGUGUGCCAGGACCCGUGUCACCAUCUGCCUUCACCCUGUGGGCGUGGGACCUGUCAUCAUUCCCAUUUUACAGAUGAGGAGACUGAGGCACAGGGCAGGGCCGGGGAAGCCAAGCAGCCAGCAGAAAGUGCAGUGCUCUGGACGGCUGUUCCCUGGCUUCUCUCUGAGCCAGUGGCGGGGGGACCCCGCAGGUGCCUGCCUUGCUGGUGAACGUCAAGGCCGUGGGCCGGCUGCACGCAGGGGUUGUGGUCCCUCCUGUCACGACAGGAGGCGAGGGGAAGACUGCCAGCCGAGAAGAAAGAGGCGCAGAUGUCUGGACAAACAUGGCCACGUGUCAACAAAGCGUGCACUUGAGUUCAAGACGCUGAGACAAAGGUGGCUGGCAGGCCUGCCGAAGUCCUGGGGCACCCUCUCUGCCUGUGCGUGUUCCCAGGGCCCACAAAGGCCGCAGCUGUGUCCCUGAGAUGACACCUUCAGCUCCACCCACAGGGCCUCUGGCAACGCCAAUUUGCUGCUGGCCAAGAGUGUGAUUCCAACAAAUACUCUGCUUUUCUGAAGAUGCCUCCUCAGAGGCGGGGGGAUCCCAGCCAUUAGUGACACGUGCCCCUUGCUUUACUGCACCCUCAAGGGAAGACAGGCCAGGACGGGGGAAGGCUGCCUGUGGCACGGGCUCUCGGAGGGAGCCCACGAAGACGGCGCCAUGGCCCCCUCCCCCCAGGAUCCUGACCUGCGACUGUGAGAGCAGCAACCGCGGACGCAGCCAGAAGCCCGGUCACACAGCCUCUGCCCCUGGGCUGCUGCCGCGGAGGACGAGGACCCCGGACCUACUGCACCAAGCCCACACAAGGGGCUGCCUUGCUUCAAAUAUAAAAGGUGGUUCUGUCUCCAAGGAAUGCCGUACACGUGCUUACACACAGCAGCACUUGCCUGGCCUGAGUGCACCUGAAAUCAGCAGAAAACAGAAGCCCCAGGCACCAGCAGAAGAAGAGGGGAAAGAGCUGUCCCCGCGGGUUCCCACUGGGGUGCCUGGCGGCCUCUUCUCCGAGCGCUGUCCCCUGGUUCCUCUCCACACUCUGCACAGCAUCUCCCACGCUUUCUGUCUGACCUGGAGCGGCCCGGGACACAGAACUGCCCCUUCCUCCAAACACAAGGCCCAUGGUCUUUUCUUCCAAGGACAUUGUGUAAAUUAGCAGGGCUGGGGAGAGGAGGGGAGAGAAAAUCCGAAUGGGGAGUGGGGGCCGCGCCCACGUCUGUGAAGAGGCCUUGCUGCUUCUCCCACAAAGGACCCAGAAAGGAGAGGCCGGGAGGGAGGGGCCCUGGUCUCACCUUCGCGUCCUGCUUGGUGAGGAAGUCGACGAAGCCGAACCCUCUGUGCGAGCCCAUCCCCGUCAUCUUCUUCGGCAAGCGGACUGUCUUCAGCUCCCCGAAGGUGCUGGGAAUAAAAACACGGGAGUUUCAGAAUCGAGGCCUGCAAAGGGGGCGGGGGGAGGCAGGACCGAUUCUCACCCGCUAACCCUUUCCAGUUAGAAGAGAGGAGUGCCCGCAGAUGCACGAGGCGGGUACGUGUGCACAGCCACGUGCACGAACACUCGUGUCAGUGUCAGCUCCCCACUGGCCAGCACGUGUCCUGGGGGCCUGGGUGGCCUUCUCCCUCCGGCCUGGCCAUCACGCCAGCAGGGAGGGAACCGUCAGACUGGGGAUGCCGUUCCUCCCGGGGGUGAGGGGGUGGGGGGAAUGAAUAUUCAGCAAGGGGGAUGCAGCCCCGUGCACGCAUGGCUGGGCUGGGGAGGCACUGGCCAGGCCAGGGCCCCGGACUCGGGGUUAGCACGGACUCCCCACGGACCCCCACGAAUCUGACUGAGUAAGCAGGGUGAGUCCCUUCUCCCAGAUCCGGGACCUGGGAUGGUUCUUCAGCGCUUGGCACUUGAAUGCCACACAGCCACGCCCUCCAAACCCCACUCCUGCCUCAGGGUUUUGAUAUCUGCGAAGCCAAAGUCAGGCAAAGCUGACUCUGGAGGAGAAAAGGCAGAUGUUCCCCACCGCCCCCCCGCAUCCAGCAGGGAUCAAACAGGUAAACACGGCCUCCAACCAUCUCCCCAGUGCCCCCUCUCCCCCUGGAUAAACCUUUGAGAAAUUCCCGGACAAAAGGAUCGGGCCUCCCUUGCUUUCCUCUCUCACUCCCCCGCCCCCAGCCCAUCCUCAGGUCCAUUUAUCAAACAUAUACGCACAAAUUGUUGCCGAUAAAUAUUUAAUGUGCG